rnacentral:ncRNA from 1 species
GUGGUGCAUGGCCAUUCUUAGUUGGUGGAGCGAUUUGUCUGGUUAAUUCCAAUAACGAACAAGACUCUGGUAUGCUAACUAGUUAUGUGACCCCCGAGCAGUCGGCGUCCAACUUCUUAGAGGGACAAGUGGCGUUCAGCCUCCCAAGAUUGAGCAAUAACAGGUCUGUGAUGCCC